ensembl:snRNA U6 U6 spliceosomal RNA
GUGCUCGCUUCAGCAGCACAUAUACUAAAAUUGGAAUGAUAUAGAGAAGAUUAGCAUGGCCCCUGCACAAGGAUGACAUGCAAAUUCGUGAAGUGUUCCAUAUUUUU